ACAUCUCAACUCCUCACGGUUCGCCCGUGAUGAGCUUGGACUUUGGGGGUCUUGCCGGCCUGCAGGUCGGCUCCUCUCAAAUGAAUCAGCUUGCCGGUGUUUGGUGGCGUCACAGGUGUGAUAACUAUCUACGCUUGUGGUUUUCCGCCAGGUAACCUCCAGCAAUGGGGGUUCACUGGAGCUCACAGACGUCUCUCCUCGGUGAGGACAGCUUUUGAAC
rnacentral:misc_RNA from 1 species